AGCUCCAAUAGCGUAUAUUAAAGUUGCUGCAGUUAAAAAGCUCGUAGUUGGAUUUCUGCCGAGGACGACCGGUCCGCCCUCUGGGUGAGUAUCUGGCUUGGCCUGGGCAUCUUCUUGGAGAACGUAGCUGCACUUGACUGUGUGGUGCGGUAUCCAGGACUUUUUUACUUUGAGGAAAUCAGAGUGUUUCAAGCAGGCAUGCGCCUUGAACACAUUAGCAUGGAAUAAUAAGAUAGGACCUCGGUUCUAUUUUGUCGGUUUCUAGAGCUGAGCUAAUGAUUAAUAGGGAUAGUUGGGGGCACUCGUAUUUAACUGUCAGAGGUGAAAUUCUUGGAUUUGUUAAAGACGGAUUACUGCGAAAGCAUUUGACAAGGAUGUUUGCA
rnacentral:rRNA from 1 species